ensembl:lncRNA
UGUCUUACUGGAUGAUAAAUAAAGUACUGUUUGGCCAAUGAGGCAGCAAGUUAGGUGGGACUAGGAGUCAAGGAGGAUUCUGGGAAAUGUAGUAAAGAAGUGGUGAUCCAGGCAGGAAGUGACAUAGCAGGGAGACUCAUAAACAAGGGCAAGAAGGAAGUGGGCCCCUUCUCUCUUCCUCCUGGUCUCUGCUCUGGAGUCGCCAUGUGAUCCACCAGAAAGAGAGGGCACCAGCAGAAGGCAUCCUCUAUAAGAUAAAUCUUAUAAAAUAUAUAUAUUUAUGAUAAUUAAGACUGAGCCAGCAGAUGAGAAAUCCUAGCUAUUGGGCAAGCAGCAUUUGUACCAAAUAUAAGUCUCUGUAUAUUAUUUUGGGCCCUAACUAGGCGGGCAGAACUUGGGUGGCUGGUGGAAAGCGCCCACAUGGCAGUAGGGCUCAGGUGGCUUUUGGCAAAAAGAUUUAUCAUAACACAAGAUGAGAGUAGUGGCAAGCUAGUUAAACCCUCAUGUAUGCAAACAGUGUGCUGAAAACUAAACGUCAAAUGUGUCCACUUAUGCAAACAGUUAUUUCUAAUUAUAUAUGUGUGUACCUCUUCUGGACAUAGUGAAAUGGCAGCGACACUCGGGAAAAUGUUUCAGAAUCCAGGGAAUCAGUUAUUAGGAACUUUCAGAUAUAGGCAACAAGAAACUUAACUCAAAUUACUUUUAAAAAUUCAUUGUCUAGAAAGACUGCAAAAGAUACUUCUGAGAUUUUAGAAUUGAGUGAAGGAAGAGAGUAAAGAGAAGUAGAGAGGGAAGGGAGUGAAUACAAAAGGACAGGAGGAGGAGAGGGGGAGUGUGUGGAGAGAGAGGGAGGAAGUAAGUAGAGGGCAGAGGAAAGGGUCCCUGAAGGGAGAAGAGAGAGUGAAGAAGCAGGGCAGCACAGGCAAGAGCGGCAUAGAUGUGGGGUCUGCAAGCUUAGAGGCUCUGGAUGAAGGAUUCUCCCUUCAUCUUCUUCUGUCUCAUCCAGAUUCUCCCUUGUCUAGGACAUGGGGUAUCCUGUGCUUCCGGGGUGCUACAGAAAGGACUUCACCUAGUAGAGACAUAUGCCCACUGAUGGAUAAUCCAGGUUGCCUGUGGAUGAAGUGCAAUGCUCUGCCAUGUCCUUCAGCAUGAGGAAUGGAAAAAAGUCUCAAUUUCUGCAGAGUAUACAUUGGACAGGGAAGUGCAUGUGGCCUUGCAAACUGAAGAAUUCAGCUGCUGAAAUCUGUUCCAAGAAGUAGAGACUGCAUUUGGAGGGUGUGGCUUGCGGGUUUCACUUACUGUUGAAAUAGAGGAUGACUUCCAAAAAACUGACAGGAGCACAGAGCCUGUGUCAUCUCCAUUCCCAGUGAUUUCUCUUUGAUUGAUGUGCCAUUAAUGCUUUAAUUGGCAACAGGAUGUGAACUUGAAAUCAUCUAAAAGACAAACCUCUGGGUGUGUCAGUGAUGGUACUUGAAGAUCGGUUUAACUGAAGGGCGAACACCCCUACUAAAUGUAUUGGUGUCUAGCCCAAUGACCAUCAGAGAGGCUUUAUCCAGCAACUUACAGAAACAGAUGCAGACCCACAGCCAAACAUUAGGCAAAGCUUGAGGAAUCCUGCAGAAGAGGGGAGGAAAGGAUUAUAGGAGCCAGAUGGGACAAUAACACCACAAGAAAACUCACAGAAUCAACUAACCUGUGCUCAUGGAAACUCACAGAGACUAAACCAACAACUCAGGAGCCUGCAUGGGACUGACCUAGGGUCAUCAACUUGAAAGUCCUCCUCCAAUCAAAUUCCAGUCAUUCCACCCCUGUAACAUCUUCAUAGCCUCACCCCUAUUCCAUCACCAUUUCCUUUGUUCUGGUUUUUAUCGGCAACUGAGAGAAGAAC